UACGUAGGGGGCAAGCGUUGUCCGGAAUCAUUGGGCGUAAAGAGCGUGUAGGCGGCUUGGAAGGUCAGCUGUGAAAACUCGAGGCUCAACCUCGAGACGUCGGUUGAAACCACCUGGCUAGAGUCCGGAAGAGGAGAGUGGAAUUCCUGGUGUAGCGGUGAAAUGCGCAGAUAUCGGGAGGAACACCAGUAGCGAAGGCGGCACCCUGGGCCGGUACUGACGCUGAGGAGCGAAAGCGUGGGGAGCGAACAGG
rnacentral:rRNA from 1 species